CAGAAGAAUGCAUUCCUUUGAAUCACUGGAUCAAUGAUAUUCUUGAUACUUUCUGGCAGAUAUCUGGUUGAUUUGACUACCUUCAAAAUAUGCUUCGGUCCAUCUUUCACAGCACAACAAUUGUGCUCUUCUCUCUUUCUUAAUUUAGUUGUUUCUUGUACAUCUAAACUACCAAUAGCCAUAAUUCUGGUUGUUCUUUGAUCAUACAUAAAUUUCAACUCAAU